rnacentral:rRNA from 1 species
UGGAUGAACGCUAGCUACAGGCUUAACACAUGCAAGUCGAGGGGCAGCAUGGUCUUAGCUUGCUAAGGCCGAUGGCGACCGGCGCACGGGUGAGUAACACGUAUCCAACCUGCCGUCUACUCUUGGACAGCCUUCUGAAAGGAAGAUUAAUACAAGAUGGCAUCAUGAGUCCGCAUGUUCACAUGAUUAAAGGUAUUCCGGUAGACGAUGGGGAUGCGUUCCAUUAGAUAGUAGGCGGGGUAACGGCCCACCUAGUCUUCGAUGGAUAGGGGUUCUGAGAGGAAGGUCCCCCACAUUGGAACUGAGACACGGUCCAAACUCCUACGGGAGGCAGCAGUGAGGAAUAUUGGUCAAUGGGCGAGAGCCUGAACCAGCCAAGUAGCGUGAAGGAUGACUGCCCUAUGGGUUGUAAACUUCUUUUAUAAAGGAAUAAAGUCGGGUAUGGAUACCCGUUUGCAUGUACUUUAUGAAUAAGGAUCGGCUAACUCCGUGCCAGCAGCCGCGGUAAUACGGAGGAUCCGAGCGUUAUCCGGAUUUAUUGGGUUUAAAGGGAGCGUAGAUGGAUGUUUAAGUCAGUUGUGAAAGUUUGCGGCUCAACCGUAAAAUUGCAGUUGAUACUGGAUAUCUUGAGUGCAGUUGAGGCAGGCGGAAUUCGUGGUGUAGCGGUGAAAUGCUUAGAUAUCACGAAGAACUCCGAUUGCGAAGGCAGCCUGCUAAGCUGCAACUGACAUUGAGGCUCGAAAGUGUGGGUAUCAAACAGGAUUAGAUACCCUGGUAGUCCACACGGUAAACGAUGAAUACUCGCUGUUUGCGAUAUACUGCAAGCGGCCAAGCGAAAGCGUUAAGUAUUCCACCUGGGGAGUACGCCGGCAACGGUGAAACUCAAAGGAAUUGACGGGGGCCCGCACAAGCGGAGGAACAUGUGGUUUAAUUCGAUGAUACGCGAGGAACCUUACCCGGGCUUAAAUUGCAGAUGAAUUACGGUGAAAGCCGUAAGCCGCAAGGCAUCUGUGAAGGUGCUACAUGGUUGUCGUCAGCCCGUGCCGUGAGGUGUCGGCUUAAGUGCCAUAACGAGCGCAACCCUUGUUGUCAGUUACUAACAGGUUCCGCUGAGGACUCUGACAAGACUGCCAUCGUAAGAUGUGAGGAAGGUGGGGAUGACGUCAAAUCAGCACGGCCCUUACGUCCGGGGCUACACACGUGUUACAAUGGGGGGUACAGAGGGCCGCUACCACGCGAGUGGAUGCCAAUCCCCAAAACCUCUCUCAGUUCGGACUGGAGUCUGCAACCCGACUCCACGAAGCUGGAUUCGCUAGUAAUCGCGCAUCAGCCACGGCGCGGUGAAUACGUUCCCGGGCCUUGUACACACCGCCCGUCAAGCCAUGGGAGCCGGGGGUACCUGAAGUGCGUAACCGCGAGGAGCGCCCUAGGGUAAAACUG